GGACUACCCGGGUAUCUAAUCCCAUUCGCGACCCACGCUUUCAUGUUUCAGUGUCAGGAGUGCUCCAGUCUGCUGCCUUCGCUUUUGGUGUUCCCCAUAAUAUCAACGCAUUUCACCGCUACACUAUGAGUUCCGCAGACCCCUCGCAUCCUCGAGUCGUGCCGUUUCCCUUGCAUGCCCCCGGUUAAGCCGAAGAAUUUAACAAGAGACUAACACAACCACCUACACAUCCUUUACGCCCAAUGAUUCCGGAUAACGCUUGAGGCACUCGUAUUACCGCGGCUGCUGGCAC
rnacentral:rRNA from 1 species